GAGUAGCUGGGACUACAGGCGUCUGCCACCAUGCAGCUAAUUUUUUGUAUUUUUUUUUUUAGUAGAGAUGGGGUUUCACCGUGUUAGCCAGGAUGGUCACGAUCUCCUGACCUCGUGAUCCGCCUGCCUCGGCCUCCCAAAGUGCUGGGAUUACCGGCAUGAGCCACCAUUUCCGGCAACAGGCAGACUUUUAACACAUUCCUUACCUAAACUUUUAAAAGGGACAAAAGAUAUAUGCCUUUGGUUUGGGAGAUGACGAAACAUAUGCUUUAAUGACUAUUGGGUUGGAAUCUUCUUGAGAGAGGAUCCUUCUUAGCCUAGACUAGAGUCUUCAAAAGCCCACAGUGCUUCGUAAAGUUUCAUACGUGGAAGAGAGAAGGAUGUUCCACUGGAAAAGCAGAAUUGCAGCUGAGCUGUCCUGAAAUGCCCAGCACUCUGUGGAGACGCGGAGGAGGUUUCCUGGGACAAAGUGCUGAACCAGGAGAGAUCUCAUCCGCUGUCCACUGGGGAAUGGCCUUGCCCUAUGGCCCCUACCAAACAAAAACGUAGCAGAACACAGCAAAACAGCAGAGUCGGAAUGUGAAGUGCUGAUAGAGUUCCCUAACGCUGACUGUCUGCUCUGCAUUUCUGGAGAUUGUAUGCCUGUCAUCCUGCAUUCCUUGCUACAGCCACAAGCUGUCUCCACCAUCAGAUGUGGCUUACCUGGUUCCUGAGUCAAUUCCAUCCAGAUGGUGAAGCCAAGGCCUGAAGACCUUUCCUGCAAGGUCGCAGAGGAAGAGGCAGAAGAAGGACCAGAACCCAGCUCCCCUGACUCCCUAUCCAGUGCUCUUCUCAUAGAUUACAUUGCUUCAGCAUCCACCUGGCUAUUGCUCCAUCCAGGGGUUACAGGAGUCACUGACUGUUUUGGUUGCUUCUUGGUUGGAGGAUGUUGUGCCUCACCGAUGAGAGCCGGAAGCAAAGGUACCAGUUCUUAGAGGAAGCAUAGGAAUGUGUCCCUUCCUGCUCGGGUCUCUCAACUGAACUCAACCCUUCCUUGAUUGAUUGACAAGCAUGUUAUCUCUCAUAAUCCCUGCCCGGUAAGGGCUGAUGUCCCCAUUUUACAGAUGAGGAUAUUGGAGCUCAGAGAAGUGAAAUGAUUGCUGAAGGUCACACAGCCUGGCUUCAAGCCUCUCGGGCUCCAAAAGGCAUCUUCUGUUCUCUCCGUCAGGAAGCCUCUUUUGGAUGAUUAACUGAGAUUAAAAAUGAAAAGACACAUGAAAGAAA
rnacentral:lncRNA from 1 species